rnacentral:rRNA from 1 species
GACAGAGGGGGCAAGCGUUGCUCGGAAUCACUGGGCGUAAAGGGCGCGUAGGCGGGAUGGCAAGUCGGUCGUGAAAUCCUUCGGCUCAACCGAAGAACGUCGGCCGAUACUGCCGUUCUUGAGGGAUGCAGAGGAGAUUGGAAUUCCCGGUGUAGCGGUGAAAUGCGCAGAUAUCAGGAAGAACACCCGUGGCGAAGGCGGCUUUCUGGGACGGUACUGACGCUGAGACGCGAAAGCGUGGGGAGCGAACAGG